rnacentral:lncRNA from 1 species
ACAUUAAAAUACGCAACCAACCGUCAUUGAACCGUCCAAUCAGAUCAAAGGAGUAAUCGUCGUAGAUCGUGCGUUAUCGAUAAUGUUCGGUGCCUGGAGAAAAUUGACAAUUGACAAGAGAAUUGUUUAUUAUUUUUGACUUUUUAGUUCGUUUAAUUUAAUAAUUACUAAAACCAGUAGUUCGAAAGAUAUAUUUAAAAAUAAAAGAUAAAAUUCCAAAAAAUUAAUUAUCUAUUAACGUGGAUUUGGACGACAAUAGGUUUUUAGUUUGUGAUGUUUCAUGUGAUGAUCAUCAUGUUCAUCGUCUUUGAAUUGACAUGAGGAUAUCUAUGGAAAAGUAACUAAUCUGAAAGUAAGCCAACAUAUCGUUUGUCCAUUGUGUGCUAACGAAAAGAUUUUCUUUUCGCAUCAUGAGGAAGUAUUACAUCAAUU